GGACUCCUGGAACAGUGAACCAGCCUGUUCCUGUUCUGAUCGGGCUUCAGACUCCUGGACUUCUGAGCCUUCCGGUUUUGAUCGGAUUCCCUAACCCAGCUCGGACUCCUGCUUGUUCUCUGGGCAUGCAGCAUCUUUUUCACUUUGACCGUUAUAGAGAACAAAGGGGAUCAGAUCCCGGGUCUGAGGGGAGGAGCUGGUUGGCCCUUAUAGUGUAUCGCUACCUGGACCAAGGAGUAAAGAGGCGCCUGGUCCUGGUCCGCCUCCUCACACACCU